UUUGCGAGUUGUAGAAGGGUAUAACGCGGGGGUGCGUCGCCGAUAGGGGCUAGGGACUAUUUGGUGGCGUCAAAAUGAUACGCAUCUAACGUAUAGGAAACUGUAAUUUGCAAAUUGGGUGGCAUAUGGCGUUAAAAUAAAUACAUCUCUGAGCUACGGAGACAUAUUCGUUUUAUUGGGUAAUAUAUUUAUAAUGCACAAUGAGCAAGCGGACGUGAAUCGAUGUCUUCAUUUGGGGGGGUAGCGCGGGUUUCUCUUCAAUGACUUCUUGCGUUAGAAAUUUACGAAUAAAGUCGGCCGUUUAUAAUGUACAUUUAGAUAGCAAACAUGUGAACUAUCCAUCCGCUUGAUUAUUUUAUAAAAUCCUCGUUCCAUCCGUUUGAAUAAUAGGUAUUUAUAAAUCGAAAGGAUGCGAAUUAUCUGUUUAUCGUUAAGGACGCAAAAAGGGUUCCGCAUUAUAAAUACCACUUUAUCGCAUCAUUUGUUCUCAAUGCGUGUACGAGCAGCAAAAUGACAUCGGCGCCGACGAGGACCAAUAUUUCAAAGUGUGAGUGGUUGUUAAACGAAAUUCGAGAGUAUGUGCCAAACGGGUACACGAUCAUGUGCCCGUGUGCACAUAAUCUGGUUUAUGAUGAGAGGCGCGACAUUCUACUAUUUAUAGACCCCUUUUUUGGGGAUUACUAUAUAUGGGUUUUUACGAAUUCAGAACCCUCAGGAAGGGGAGUAGCAUUUGUGCGUGUAGGACCAAGAUACCAAUCACCUCGUCAAAGGAACUGCUACAAUCAAAAUCGUUGACAUCAGUCGUCCUCCUCGUCCUUCAAAAAAACUAAUGCAGA